GUUCAAUCAACACUCAACUCACUCACACUCAAUAAUCAACCACUUUUGACCGUACUCUCUGCAAGUAGCCCUAAUUUCAGCUUCAGCCAUGCCUAAAGUGACAGUCUAAUCCUCCUAGACUUCUCUGCAAAGUCAUUACAUUCAUAGAAAAACUCAUUUCUCCCAUUUUCACUAGCAGCUUAACAAAUUAGAAAUUCUUGAUUUCAAUAUCUUUCAAAUUGCUCACUCGUUCCAACCUACCCAGGGAGUUUCAAACGCAGAACAAGAGCCCACCAUUUCAAGAACACGCAAGAUCAAGGGGAUUAGCGAUGCUUUCCCGAGAUGAGUUUAUGUGAUUACGAUCUUCAGGCUUUGCCUAAUCAGCUGACCUGGUGAGUUGAUCUCCAUCGGGCACUAACUAAGAGGCGUUAUAAAGGUGCUCGGCUGGAUGUGUUUCAGAGCAUGAGAAAUAUGAGGCCUGCCUGGGUAGCGUCCCGAGGUCAAAGUAAACUUGUCUGGGUUACGCCCUCAGUUCAAGUAAACAGGAGACAGAGAUCCGUCGGUGGUUAAAUGUCUUAUUUUCACUUUUCAGAGAUCAAGACUAAUUUAGGUUGGCUCGUUCAAAACCCUGACUACCGUUGUUAGCUUUAUUCUCAUAUCUGUGUUUUUUAUUAACUACAACUUCAUUCCUUAUUUAGGACUUGAAGCAGGUGUAAUACUUGUAGCAUU